rnacentral:rRNA from 1 species
GUGACCUCAAAUCAGGUAGGACUACCCGCUGAACUUAAGCAUAUCAAUAAGCGGAGGAAAAGAAACUAACAAGGAUUCCCCUAGUAACUGCGAGUGAAGCGGGAAAAGCUCAAAUUUAAAAUCUGUCAGUCUUUGGCUGUCCGAGUUGUAAUCUAGAGAAGUGUUAUCCGCGCUGGACCGUGUACAAGUCUCCUGGAAUGGAGCGUCAUAGAGGGUGAGAAUCCCGUCUUUGACACGGACUGCCAGGGCUUUUGUGAUGCGCUCUCAAAGAGUCGAGUUGUUUGGGAAUGCAGCUCAAAAUGGGUGGUAAAUUCCAUCUAAAGCUAAAUAUUGGCGAGAGACCGAUAGCGAACAAGUACCGUGAGGGAAAGAUGAAAAGAACUUUGGAAAGAGAGUUAAACAGUACGUGAAAUUGCUGAAAGGGAAACGCUUGAAGUCAGUCGCGUCAUUCAGGGAUCAACCUUGCUUUUGCUUGGUGUACUUUCUGGUUGACGGGUCAGCAUCAAUUUUGACCAUUGGAAAAAGAUUAAGGGAAUGUGGCAUACAUAGUGAUGUGUUAUAGCCCUUGGUUGCAUACAAUGGUUGGGAUUGAGGAACUCAGCACGCCGCAAGGCCGGGUUUUUAUUAACCACGUACGUGCUAGGAU